rnacentral:rRNA from 1 species
GACGAACGCUGGCGGCGUGCUUAACACAUGCAAGUCGAACGAUGAAGCCUAGCUUGCUAGGUGGAUUAGUGGCGAACGGGUGAGUAAUACGUGAGUAACCUACCUUUAACUCUGGGAUAAGCCUGGGAAACUGGGUCUAAUACCGGAUACGACCAAUCUCCGCAUGGGGUGUUGGUGGAAAGCGUUAUGUAGUGGUUAUAGAUGGGCUCACGGCCUAUCAGCUUGUUGGUGAGGUAACGGCUCACCAAGGCGACGACGGGUAGCCGGCCUGAGAGGGUGACCGGCCACACUGGGACUGAGACACGGCCCAGACUCCUACGGGAGGCAGCAGUGGGGAAUAUUGCACAAUGGGCGCAAGCCUGAUGCAGCGACGCCGCGUGAGGGAUGACGGCCUUCGGGUUGUAAACCUCUGUUAGCAGGGAAGAAGAGAAAUUGACGGUACCUGCAGAGAAAGCGCCGGCUAACUACGUGCCAGCAGCCGCGGUAAUACGUAGGGCGCGAGCGUUGUCCGGAAUUAUUGGGCGUAAAGAGCUUGUAGGCGGUUUGUCGCGUCUGCUGUGAAAGGCCGGGGCUUAACCCCGUGUAUUGCAGUGGGUACGGGCAGACUAGAGUGCAGUAGGGGAGACUGGGAACUCCUGGUGUAGCGGUGGAAUGCGCAGAUAUCAGGAAGAACACCGAUGGGCGAAGGCAGGUCUCUGGGCUGUAACUGACGCUGAGAAGCGAAAGCAUGGGGAGCGAACAGG